rnacentral:rRNA from 1 species
GUGCCAGCCGCCGCGGUAAUACGUAGGGGGCGAGCGUUGUCCGGAUUUACUGGGCGUAAAGCGCGUGUAGGCGGUCCCUUAAGUCCGAGGUGAAAGGCGGAGGCUCAACCUCCGAGCUGCGUCGGAAACUGGGGGUCUUGAAUGUCGGAGAGGGGCGUGGAAUUCCUGGUGUAGCGGUGAAAUGCGUAGAGAUCAGGAGGAACACCGGUGGCGAAGGCGGCGCCCUGGCCGAACAUUGACGCUGAGACGCGAAAGCGCGGGGAGCGAACGGGAUUAGAUACCCUGGUAGUCC